rnacentral:rRNA from 1 species
UACGUAGGUGGCAAGCGUUAUCCGGAAUUACUGGGCGUAAAGCGCACGCAGGCGGUCUUUUAAGUUUGACGCGAAAGCUCCCGGCUUAACUGGGAGAGGUCGUUGAAUACUGGAAGACUUGAGGAAAUGAGAGGGGUGUAGAAUUCCUGGUGUAGUGGUGGAAUGCGUAGAUAUCAGGAGGAAUACCAGUGGCGAAAGCGGCACCCUAGCAUUUUUCUGACGCUCAUGUGCGAAAGCGUGGGGAGCGAACGGG